ACAUGCAAGUCGAACGGGAACCUUCGGGGUUCUAGCUGGCGGACGGGUGAGUAACGCGUGAGAAUCGACCUACAGGACGGGGCACAACAACUGGAAACGGUUGCUAAUACCCGAUGAGCCGAGAGGUAAAAGGUUUACUGCCUGAAGACGAGCUCGCGUCCGAUUAGCCAGUUGGUGGGGUAACGGCCUACCAAAGCAAUGAUCGGUAGCUGGUUUGAGAGGACAACCAGCCACACUGGGACUGAGACACGGCCCANACUCCUACGGGAGGCAGCAGUGGGGAAUUUUCCGCAAUGGGCGAAAGCCUGACGGAGCAAUACCGCGUGGGGGACGAAGGUCUGUGGAUUGUAAACCCCUUUUCUCUGGGAAGAAAAAAAUGACGGUACCAGANGAAUCAGCAUCGGCUAACUCCGUGCCAGCAGCCGCGGUAAGACGGAGGAUGCAAGCGUUAUCCGGAAUUAUUGGGCGUAAAGCGUCCGCAGGUGGUUAAACAAGUCCGCCCUCAAAGAGUGGAGCUCAACUCCAUAGAGGGGGUAGAAACUGUGAAACUAGAGGAUGGUAGANGUAGGAGGAAUUCCCAGUGUAGCGGUGAAAUGCGUAGAUAUUGGGAAGAACACCCGCAGCGAAAGCGUCCUACUGGGCCAGACCUGACACUGAGGGACGAAAGCUAGGGGAGCGAAAGGGAUUAGAUACCCCUGNAGUCCUAGCNCGUAAACNAUGGACANUANGGUNGUUGCUCGUAUCNNCCC
rnacentral:rRNA from 1 species